rnacentral:rRNA from 1 species
UGGGGAAUAUUGCACAAUGGGCGCAAGCCUGAUGCAGCCAUGCCGCGUGUGUGAAGAAGGCCUUCGGGUUGUAAAGCACUUUCAGCGAGGAGGAAGGGUAGUGUGUUAAUAGCACAUUGCAUUGACGUUACUCGCAGAAGAAGCACCGGCUAACUCCGUGCCAGCAGCCGCGGUAAUACGGAGGGUGCAAGCGUUAAUCGGAAUUACUGGGCGUAAAGCGCACGCAGGCGGUUUGUUAAGUCAGAUGUGAAAUCCCCGAGCUUAACGUGGGAACUGCAUUUGAAACUGGCAAGCUAGAGUCUUGUAGAGGGGGGUAGAAUUCCAGGUGUAGCGGUGAAAUGCGUAGAGAUCUGGAGGAAUACCGGUGGCGAAGGCGGCCCCCUGGACAAAGACUGACGCUCAGGUGCGAAAGCGUGGGGAGCAAACA